rnacentral:rRNA from 1 species
GGCGGACGGGUGAGUAACGCGUGAGGAACCUGCCUUUCAGAGGGGGACAACAGUUGGAAACGACUGCUAAUACCGCAUGACACAUUGAGGUCGCAUGGCCUUAAUGUCAAAGAUUUAUCGCUGAAAGAUGGCCUCGCGUCUGAUUAGCUAGUUGGUGAGGUAACGGCCCACCAAGGCGACGAUCAGUAGCCGGACUGAGAGGUUGAACGGCCACAUUGGGACUGAGAUACGGCCCAGACUCCUACGGGAGGCAGCAGUGGGGAAUAUUGGGCAAUGGGCGCAAGCCUGACCCAGCAACGCCGCGUGAAGGAAAAAGGCUUUCGGGUUGUAAACUUCUUUUGUCAGGGACGAGUAGAAGACGGUACCUGACGAAUAAGCCACGGCUAACUACGUGCCAGCAGCCGCGGUAAUACGUAGGUGGCAAGCGUUGUCCGGAUUUACUGGGUGUAAAGGGCGUGUAGCCGGGAGGGCAAGUCAGAUGUGAAAUCCACGGGCUUAACUCGUGAACUGCAUUUGAAACUGUUCUUCUUGAGUAUCGGAGAGGCAACCGGAAUUCCUAGUGUAGCGGUGAAAUGCGUAGAUAUUAGGAGGAACACCAGUGGCGAAGGCGGAUUGCUGGACGACAACUGACGGUGAGGCGCG